GAGGACCUACGGGGGGCAGCAGUAGGGAAUUUUCGGCAAUGGGCGAAAGCCUGACCGAGCAACGCCGCGUGAACGAAGAAGGUUUUCGGAUUGUAAACUCCUUUUAUCAGGGACGAUAAUGACGGUACCUGAAGAAAAAGCUCCGGCUAACUACGUGCCAGCAGCCGCGGUAAUACGUAGGGAGCGAGCGUUGUCCGGAAUUACUGGGUGUAAAGGGAGCGUAGGCGGGACGGCAAGUCAGAUGUGAAAACUGAGGGCUCAACUUUCAGACUGCAUUUGAAACUGCUGUUCUUGAGUGAAGUAGA
rnacentral:rRNA from 1 species